rnacentral:rRNA from 1 species
AGACAGAGGGUGCAAACGUUGUUCGGAAUUACUGGGCGUAAAGCGCGUGUAGGCGGCUUGGCAAGUCGGGUGUGAAAGCCCCGGGCUCAACCUGGGAAGUGCACUCGAAACUGCUUGGCUUGAGUACUGGAGAGGGAAGCGGAAUUCUCGGUGUAGAGGUGAAAUUCGUAGAUAUCGAGAGGAACACCGGUGGCGAAGGCGGCUUCCUGGACAGUCACUGACGCUGAGACGCGAAAGCGUGGGGAGCAAACA